ACACCUGAGGAGAAGGCCAAAAGUACUGAAAGUGGCCAGGAUGUGAGAACUAAUAGAAAUCCAGACCAAAGGUUCUCCAACAUCAAGUGCUAUACACGUCCAACACAUGCCCCAAGAGAGCAGCUAUACACAUUGUACAUGACAAAGGCAAAGCACCAAUGGAGGAGGAUGAUUCUGACGAUCAGAUUGAUGAUGAAGCCCCACCUGAUGAAGGAAAUAGAAUGUCCUGUAUUAUUCAUAGGAGCUGCCAUGUACCUCACACUGACAU
rnacentral:lncRNA from 1 species